rnacentral:lncRNA from 1 species
CUCCAAAGUCACUGAAACUCAUAAAGGAGAUUCUUAUAGGAUAUAGAAAUAGUGUCGAAAUUUUAAUUAUAAGUAAACAAUUUUUCAUUAUUACAAAAUGGAGUUGGUCACUUUUAGAAUCAUAGAAGAAAUCAUCAUUCUCUUCUUCUAUAUCGACUAUUUCAUCACCAUUGAAGGCACCUGCGGCAACAACGUCCGCUCUUUUUAGUCUCUCCAUGCGUUCGAUGGGAAACUCUAUUCUUAGAUCAGAUGUCGUAGUCACCGUUAAGACUCGUGCUUUCGUUUAUGGUGCAGUGUUAUGCUUAGAAAGCGGAUCCUCUCAGAAAAGAGGAAAACGCGUUUAAUGUCCGGGGUGUCGUGUACGUUACACC